rnacentral:rRNA from 1 species
GACGAACGCUGGCGGCGUGCUUAACACAUGCAAGUCGAACGGUGAAGCGCCUUCCUUUUUGGUGGGUGUGGAUGAGUGGCGAACGGGUGAGUAACACGUGAGUAACCUGCCCCCUUCUUCUGGAUAACCGCAUGAAAGUGUGGCUAAUACGGGAUAUUCUGGGUCUGUCGCAUGAUGGGUCUGGGAAAGAUAUUGUUUCGGUGGGGGAUGGGCUCGCGGCCUAUCAGCUUGUUGGUGGGGUGAUGGCCUACCAAGGCGGUGACGGGUAGCCGGCCUGAGAGGGUGGCCGGUCACACAGGGUCUGCGACACGGCCCAGACUCCUACGGGAGGCAGCAGUGGGGAAUAUUGCACAGUGGGCGCAAGCCUGCUGCAGCGACGCCGCGUGAGGGAUGGAGGCCUUCGGGUUGUGAACCUCUUUCGCCAGUGAAGCAGGCCUGCCUCGUUUGUGGGUGGGUUGACGGUAGCUGGAUAAGAAGCGCCGGCUAACUACGUG